ensembl:lncRNA
CAUUGAUGAAUGCUCAUAGGGUAGAUGUCCUCUUCAGGAGACCCAGAUUAGUGUUUGCAGGGGGAAGUCCCUUAAAAGCCCUCUAGAUAACAGGAAAAUAGUGGGAGACUAUUUCAGAAAGCUUCAUCAGAGCUUCAUCAAUGAAAAAGGACUGGGAUAAUCUCUAAAGGAUAAUAUAGAAAAAAGAAAGCAUGGGCUGUAACACAGCAAGGUAGACUUGGUCUGAGUUCUGACAUCUUGACAAAGAAAGCAGAAUGACUCUAAGUAUGUUCAAGUAUAUUUUAGUGCCUUUGUGAGUGCGUCUUGCAGCUGAGAUACAUUGUUUCUAGUCAAACAUGAGGAUUAGUCUCUAGAUUUUCUAUAGACCUCCUUUUCAUGCAUGCUUUCACCAAGUCUGUUUCCACGACUUUUUUUUUUAACUGAGAGGUUUGAUGCCUUGAGGAACUGUCAUAAGAUGGAUAUAGUUGUUUUUCAUGUAUUACUAAUCUUGCUACAUUAGAAAUACCCAAAUAUAGUUUUUAAACAUUUUGAACCAAAAAACAGGCAAAGCUCAGUGUAAAACUUUCAGAUGUCAACUUUGCACCAAAUUUUUUGCCUCUUGUGGAUGUACUCUGGAUCUUGAUGUGAUUGCUUAUGUUUUAUAGGAGUAUAUGUUGAUUACAUACUACCUUUUGUAAUGAAUUUUCUUCUAAGAUCUUAAAAAAAAAAAUUACAUUAGAAUUGGGUUGUACAAAUCUUGCUCUUUUCCAUAACACUGCAAAAACAAUUUGAUUGUAUAAAUGUUGUAGUUUACUAUUUUCUAGUUUCUAUUAGAUGUCUUGUAUCUUGAGGUUGUCCUUUAAUGUCUGCUUCUUCUUCCCCUGUACCCAGCCAACCUUCAUAUGUACUUCUUACAGCUACUUUUCAGUCCUCAUGUUAAUUCAUAUUUACAUGUUGAAGUUGGCUAACCUUUUCCAUUUGCUAACUUGCUAACCAUCCAGCAGCUCUCAUUGGAUUCUGAGUAAUCAAGUCUUCAAAAAGAUCAGUUUACAUCUCUUACAUCCUGUGAAUAUAGAUUUAAGAAGUGGAAUUCUGAAAACCUUCACAAACACAUACAUUGAAGGUUUUGAGACAGAAAAAGGUUUUCCAAAAGCAUCUGUUUUCUGGGUUGUUUUCAAGAGGUCCUCUCCUGACCCAACACUCUGUUCAUGUAUGCUUCAGUUACUGCAAAUACUGUGUAAAGUUUUACUGCAAACUCUUCUGCUGUGUAUAAUACCUGAAGUAAGAAGCAGGAUUUUGCUGUUAAAUUCAUAAAACUUUUAUGUAAGAGGAAAAAGUAGACUGCCAGUAUAAAGAAAUGGUGUUAGGGGUGAGCAUUGUGUGCUUGUAAGCUAUGCAAGAUGCAUGUGGUCUAUUGCAAUGAGUUCACAGAGCCCUGAGCUAGUGCUGCUCCUGCCAGAACAUCUGUUCUGGCUGGGAGCAUCUAUAAGGAAUGCAACUACCCUGUUCGUCACAAGGUCAAACAUGCUUUCUUAAACCAAAAUGAUUUUUGACAAGAUGGAACACAAUUUGACCAGUUGUUGUACACUGAAAUUUUAAAUUAUGCACAUACUGUGUAUGACAGAUUUAUUUGAAG